AGAUUGAACGCUGGCGGCAGGCCUAACACAUGCAAGUCGAGCGGAAACGAGUUAUCUGAACCUUCGGGGAACGAUAACGGCGUCGAGCGGCGGACGGGUGAGUAAUGCCUAGGAAAUUGCCCUGAUGUGGGGGAUAACCAUUGGAAACGAUGGCUAAUACCGCAUAAUGCCUACGGGCCAAAGAGGGGGACCUUCGGGCCUCUCGCGUCAGGAUAUGCCUAGGUGGGAUUAGCUAGUUGGUGAGGUAAGGGCUCACCAAGGCGACGAUCCCUAGCUGGUCUGAGAGGAUGAUCAGCCACACUGGAACUGAGACACGGUCCAGACUCCUACGGGAGGCAGCAGUGGGGAAUAUUGCACAAUGGGCGCAAGCCUGAUGCAGCCAUGCCGCGUGUGUGAAGAAGGCCUUCGGGUUGUAAAGCACUUUGCAGUCGUGAGGAAGGUAGUGUAGUUAAUAGCUGCAUUAUUUGACGUUAGCGACAGAAGAAGCACCGGCUAAC
rnacentral:rRNA from 1 species